rnacentral:rRNA from 1 species
GACGAACGCUGGCGGCGUGCUUAACACAUGCAAGUCGAACGCUGAAGCCCAGCUUGCUGGGUGGAUGAGUGGCGAACGGGUGAGUAACACGUGAGUAACCUGCCCCCUUCUUUGGGAUAACGCCCGGAAACGGGUGCUAAUACUGGAUAUUCACUGGCCUUCGCAUGGGGGUUGGUGGAAAGGUUUUUUCUGGUGGGGGAUGGGCUCGCGGCCUAUCAGCUUGUUGGUGGGGUGAUGGCCUACCAAGGCUUUGACGGGUAGCCGGCCUGAGAGGGUGACCGGUCACAUUGGGACUGAGAUACGGCCCAGACUCCUACGGGAGGCAGCAGUGGGGAAUAUUGCACAAUGGGCGAAAGCCUGAUGCAGCGACGCCGCGUGAGGGAUGACGGCCUUCGGGUUGUAAACCUCUUUCGCUCAUGGUCAAGCCGCAGCUUUGGGUUGUGGUGAGGGUAGUGGGUAAAGAAGCGCCGGCUAACUACGUG